AGUGAACGCUGGCGGUAGGCCUAACACAUGCAAGUCGAACGGCAGCACAGGAGAGCUUGCUCUCUGGGUGGCGAGUGGCGGACGUGUGAGGAAUACAUCGGAAUCUACUUUUUCGUGGGGGAUAACGUAGGGAAACUUACGCUAAUACCGCAUACGACCUACGGGUGAAAGCCGGGGAUCUUCGGACCUUGCGCGAUUGAAUGAGCCGAUGUCGGAUUAGCUAGUUGGCGGGGUAAAGGCCCACCAAGGCGACGAUCCGUAGCUGGUCUGAGAGGAUGAUCAGCCACACUGGAACUGAGACACGGUCCAGACUCCUACGGGAGGCAGCAGUGGGGAAUAUUGGACAAUGGGCGAAAGCCUGAUCCAGCCAUACCGCGUGGGUGAAGAAGGCCUUCGGGUUGUAAAGCCCUUUUGUUGGGAAAGAAUCCAGCUGGUUAAUACCCGGUUGGGAUGACGGUACCCAAAGAAUAAGCACCGGCUAACUUCGUGCCAGCAGCCGCCGUAA
rnacentral:rRNA from 1 species